GAGUGGCGAACGGGUGAGUAACAUAUCGGAACAUAUCCGGAAGUGGGGGAUAACGUAGCGAAAGUUACGCUAACACCGCAUAUGCCUGAGGGGGAAAGGGGGGGAUCGCAAGACCUCUCGCUUUCGGAGUGGCCGAUAUCGGAUUAGCUAGUAGGUGAGGUAAAGGCUCACCUAGGCGACGAUCCGUAGCUGGUCUGAGAGGACGACCAGCCACACUGGAACUGAGACACGGUCCAGACUCCUACGGGAGGCAGCAGUGGGGAAUUUUGGACAAUGGGGGCAACCCUGAUCCAGCCAUGCCGCGUGAGUGAAGAAGGCCUUCGGGUUGUAAAGCUCUUUCGGACGGAAAGAAACGGUCACGGUGAAUACCCGUGGCUAAUGACGGUACCGUCAGAAGAAGCACCGGCUAACUACGUGCCAGCAGCCGCGGUAAUACGUAGGGUGCGGGCGUUAAUCGGAAUUACUGGGCGUAAAGCGUGCGCAGGCGGUUUAGUAAGACAGACGUGAAAUCCCCGGGCUUAACCUGGGAACUGCGUUUGUGACUGCCAGACUAGAAUGUAGCAGAGGGGGGUAGAAUUCCACGUGUAGCAGUGAAAUGCGUAGAGAUGUGGAGGAAUACCGAUGGCGAAGGCAGCCCCCUGGGCUAACAC
rnacentral:rRNA from 1 species